rnacentral:rRNA from 1 species
GAUGAACGCUGGCGGCGUGCCUAAUACAUGCAAGUCGAGCGAACAGACGAGGAGCUUGCUCCUCUGACGUUAGCGGCGGACGGGUGAGUAACACGUGGAUAACCUACCUAUAAGACUGGGAUAACUUCGGGAAACCGGAGCUAAUACCGGAUAAUAUAUUGAACCGCAUGGUUCAAUAGUGAAAGACGGUUUUGCUGUCACUUAUAGAUGGAUCCGCGCCGCAUUAGCUAGUUGGUAAGGUAACGGCUUACCAAGGCAACGAUGCGUAGCCGACCUGAGAGGGUGAUCGGCGACACUGGAACUGAGCCACGGUCAAGACUCCUACGGGAGGCAGCAGUAGGGAAUCGUCCGCAAUGGGCGAAAGCAUGACGGAGCAACGCCGCGUGAGUGAUGAAGGUCUUCGGAUCGUAAAACUCUGUUAUUAGUGAAGAACAAAUGUGUAAGUAACUAUGCACGUCUUGACGGUACCUAAUCAGAAAGCCACGGCUAACUACGUG